GUUGUCGUCAGCUCGUGUCGUGAGAUGUUGGGUUAAGUCCCGCAACGAGCGCAACCCUUGAACUUAGUUGCCAUCAUUCAGUUGGGCACUCUAAGUUGACUGCCGGUGACAAACCGGAGGAAGGUGGGGAUGACGUCAAAUCAUCAUGCCCCUUAUGAUUUGGGCUACACACGUGCUACAAUGGACAAUACAAAGGGCAGCGAAACCGCGAGGUCAAGCAAAUCCCAUAAAGUUGUUCUCAGUUCGGAUUGUAGUCUGCAACUCGACUACAUGAAGCUGGAAUCGCUAGUAAUCGUAGAUCAGCAUGCUACGGUGAAUACGUUCCCGGGUCUUGUACACACCGCCCGUCACACCACGAGAGUUUGUAACACCCGAAGCCGGUGGAGUAACCAUUUUGGAGCUAGCCGUCGAAGGUGGGACAAAUGAUUGGGGUGAAGUCGUAACAAGGUAGCCGUAUCGGAAGGUGCGGCUGGAUCACCUCCUUU
rnacentral:rRNA from 1 species